rnacentral:tRNA from 1 species
GCCACAGUAGUUCAGUCUGGUAGAAUAUCUGCUUCGUAAGCAGAAAGUCGCAGGUUCAAAUCCUGCCUGUGGCU